rnacentral:rRNA from 1 species
UACGGGGGGAGCAAGCGUUGUUCGGAUUUACUGGGCGUAAAGAGCGCGCAGGCGGCUGGGCAAGUCCGAUGUGAAAGCUUCCGGCUUAACUGGAAAAUUGCAUCGGAAACUGCUCGGCUUGAAGGUGGGAGAGGGUAGCGGAAUUCCCGGUGUAGUGGUGAAAUGCGUAGAUAUCGGGAGGAACACCAGUGGCGAAGGCGGCUACCUGGCCCACUCUUGACGCUGAGGCGCGAAAGCUAGGGGAGCAAACGGG